rnacentral:lncRNA from 1 species
ACAACUGAUCAAUACACAAAAUUGUUUCAGUAAAAUAUAUCCAUAAAUUUAUAACAAAGAGGAAAUAGCAACCGUUAGAUGGCCGCAUUAGGCAAAGUUAAUUAUUUUUGGCAAAAAAACCCAGUGACACUUGGCUAUAUAAGAUGGAGAUGCAAUCACCAAAUUACAAAAUUUUAAUUAUGAGAUGUCAAAUUUUAAUAACCCUGGUCAACGAGGUAGUCUCCAAUUUUCUCAACAACCAUGUUACACUGUCCUGGGGUCACUGGCUCUUCAUAUAAACCAAAAAUC